rnacentral:lncRNA from 1 species
GGGAAAAUUGUCUUUACAACAAAUGAGUCUGGUAUUUACCACCUUAAAUGAUCAAACAAACUCAGCAUCAUUAAUAGUGGGACAUUAUGACAUUGUGUUUCUCCUACUAUGAUGCAGCGAGGAGCAAAGAAACACGUACAAAGUAGUCUCAUCAAAAAUGUUUAAUGAUAAUCUAAUCAGACCUUUAGAGCUCAAUAUCUGUUUAUGAAACUAUGAAGAAAUAACCAGAAAAUCCCAUAAGUGAUAUAUUCUACAAGACAAACAGCUCGGGCUCUUUAAAAACCAGUAUCAUGAGGCCAGGUAUGGUGGCUCACGCUUGUAAUCCCAGCACUUUGGGAGGCCGACGCAGGCCAAUCACUUGAGUUCAGGAGUUCGAGACUGGCCUAGCCAACAUGGUGAAACCCCGUCUCUACUAAAAAUGCAAAAAUUAGCCAGGUGUGGUGGUGGGCACCUAUAAUCCCAGCUCCUCAGAAGACUAAGGCAGGAGAAUGGCUUGAACCCUGGACGCAAAGGUUGCAGUGAGCCAAGAUCAUGCCACUGCACUCCAGCCUAGGCGACAGAGUGAAACUCCAUCUCGAAAAAAAAACAAAAAACAGUAUCAUGUGGCUUCUAAAUUGUUCUAGAUUUAAAGAGACUAAAGAGAUAUAUUUGGAGGAAAAAAAGAAGUGUCAUCUUCAAGACAAUUGGGAAAAUCUGAACACGAACUGGAUAUUAGAUGUAGGUGUGGCUUUACAACAAGAUUACAUCUUUGGGCCGGGCGUGGUGGCUCAGGCCUGUAAUCCCAGCACUUUGGGAGGCCAAGGCAGGCAGAUCAUCUGAGGUCAGGAAUUCGAGACCAGCCUAACCAACAUGGAGAAAUCCCGUCUCUACUAAAAAUACAAAAUUAGCCGGGCGUGGUGUUGCAUGCCUGUAAUCCCAGCUACUCAGGAAGGCUGAGGCAGGAGAAUAGCUUGAACCAGGGAGGCAGAGGUUGCGGUGAGUCGAGAUUGCACCACUGCACUCCAGCCUGGGCAACAGCCGUGAAACUUGGUCUCAAAAAAAAAUAAAUAAAUAAAUAAAAAGAUUACAUCUUUGGUUUUGGUAUCAGGGUAAGGCUGGCCUCAUAGAAUGAGUUUAAGAAGUAUUCCCUUCUCUUCAACUUUUUAGAAUAGUUUGAGUAGAAUUGCUAUUAGUUCUUCUUUAAAUGUUUGGUAGAAAUCAGCAAUGAAGCUAUCAGGUCCUGGGCUUUUUCUUUGAUGGGAGACUUUUUAUUAUUGCUUCAAUCUCGUUACUCACUAUUAUUGAUCUGUUCAGGUUUUCUAUUUCUUCAUGGUUCAAUCUUGGUAGACUACAUGUGUCCAGAAAGUUAUCCAUUUCUUCUAGGUUUUCCAACAAGACUGUAAGCUCUCUUCAGGCACAGACAUAUUUAAUUAUUUUCUAUUUAUUUGAAGCUCAUAGUGAAGUAUUCUGCUAUCAGCAGACUUAAAAAAUGCUAGUACCAGUAUUCUGUACCAAGAGAGCAGACCUCAACUAACUAGAUUAGCUUUUCAAUUUCUCACCAGAAUAACAGCAGUUUACUUGGAUAAACAAUUUAAAGUCAGAGCUAUCAAAAGGAGAUCAUAAAUCAUUUACAGGUUUACAGAAUACUAACAGAGAAACUAGCAUCUAAGAGUUAAAGGAAGAAAUUGGAAUAUAGGUUUUUUAUGUCUUCCUAGCAUUGUCAUGGAUUUGCUAUUAUCCAGACAUAUGACUUUAUUCUCAUGACAUUAUUUUUCAAACAAAAUCCUCCAUGACCCCUCCCCAAUCUGCAAAACAGUGAGGUAUUUAUACACAACUCUUCAGUGAAAUGAAGCUUAACAAACUACAUAAUGAGCUUUAAAAUCUUAGAUAAAAGACUGCACAAAUGAUCAAAAAUUUUGAUAAUAGUGUUGGUGAGAAAACAGGCAGACUCACACUGCUGGCAGGAAUAUAAAUUCAUACAACCUCUGUGGAAAGCAUUUAGUAAUACCUAACAACAUUACAAAUGCACAUCCAUUGAUCCAGCGCUUCCACUAGGAAUUUAAACCAACAGACACCCAUGUACACAGAAUAAGUACAUACAAGGAAUUAAUUGUAUCACUGGAAACAACCUAAAUGUCCAAUAAGUGUUGGCUGAAUGAUGGUACAUCUACACAAUGGAAUUAUCUGCCAUCUUUCAAAAAGGAAGAGGGACUGUAUUUACUACAUGGAAUGAUCACCAAGAUAAAUAAAGUGAGAAAAGCAAAGUGCAGAAUGAGCAUAGUGUCUUAUUGUGUAAAACAAACAAAAACAAAAAAUGUGAAGAAUAUAUAGGUGUAUAUGCUUGUAAAAGGAUAUACUGUCUCGGGAUGAAUAAACAAGACUGUUGCCUUUGGGAAGGGGAACUCAUGGAUAAAAAGAGGAUGGUAAGAAAAGAAAGACUUCACUCUCUGUGUACCUUUUGAAUUUUGUUUCAUAUGUAUGUACAUGUGUUAACCCAUUUUAAACAAUGAUUUUUUAAAAAAGGCUCUGCACCAGUACGAAUUAUUUAACAAUAUUCGUCUUAAUCUAAAAGCAUUGCACGCCAUCAAAAUUUUAAAUGAGGCUUCAGUGAAUUCAACUAGACAAAAUGUUUCUAGAAAAAAUCAGGCCGGGCACAGUGGCUCGCACCUGUAAUCCCAGCACUUUGGGAGGCCAAGGCGGGGGUGGAUCACUUGAGGUCAGGAGUUCGAGACCAG